rnacentral:rRNA from 1 species
UCUCAGUGGGGAAUACACAGGGAAACUUGUACUAAUACCGCAUAGGACCACGACCCGGCAUCCGGGUUGAGGUGAAAGAUUUUAUCGGUGAUAGAUGGGCUCGCGUCUGAUUAGCUAGUUGGUGAGGUAACGGCUCACCAAGGCGACGAUACAUAGGGGGACUGAGAGGUUAACCCCCCCACAUUGGUACUGAGACACGGACCAAACUCCUACGGGAGGCAGCAGUGAGGAAUAUUGGUCAAUGGACGCAAGUCUGAACCAGCCAUGCCGCGUGCAGGAUGACGGCUCUAUGAGUUGUAAACUGCUUUUGUAUAUGGGUAAAUGUAGGUACGUGUACCUAUUUGAAAGUAAUAUACGAAUAAGGAUCGGCUAACUCCGUG